AUGAACGCUGGCGGCAUGCCUAAGACAUGCAAGUCGAACGAGAUGGCCUUUGAAACUGCGUACUUGUACAAAGUUCGAUUAAGAAUUUCCAUCUAGUGGCAGACGGGUGAGUAAUACAUAAGUAAUCUACCUUAGAGACUGGGAUAACGUUUGGAAACGAACGCUAAUACCGGAUAAUUCUUCUUACAUAAGUAAGAAAGCUAAAAGGAGCGUUUGCUUCACUUUAAGAUGAGCUUAUGGCGUAUUAACUAGUUGGUGGGGUAAUGGCCUACCAAGGUGACGAUGCGUAGCCGAACUGAGAGGUUGAUCGGCCACAUUGGGACUGAGACACGGCCCAAACUCCUACGGGAGGCAGCAGUUAGGAAUAUUCGUCAAUGGGGGGAAACCCCUGAACGAGCAAUGCCGCGUGAGUGAUUGACGGUCUUUAUGAUUGUAAAACUCUGUUGUAAGGAAAGAAACCUUGUCAUAGGAAAUGAUGAUAAGCUGACGGUACCUUACCAGAAAGCCCCGGCUAACUACGUGCCAGCAGCCGC
rnacentral:rRNA from 1 species